UACGGAGGAUGCGAGCGUUAUCCGGAUUUAUUGGGUUUAAAGGGAGCGUAGACGGGAUGUUAAGUCAGCUGUGAAAGUUUGGGGCUCAACCUUAAAAUUGCAGUUGAAACUGGCAUUCUUGAGUGCGGCAGAGGCAGGCGGAAUUCGUGGUGUAGCGGUGAAAUGCUUAGAUAUCACGAAGAACUCCUAUUGCGAAGGCAGCUUGCUGGAGCGUAACUGACGUUGAUGCUCGAAAGUGUGGGUAUCAAACAGG
rnacentral:rRNA from 1 species